rnacentral:tRNA from 1 species
GAGGAUAUAGCUCAGUGGUAGAGUACAUGUUUAGCAUACAUGAGAUCCUGGGUUCAAUCCCCAGUACCCCCA